UGGAUAUGACCAUAAAGAAAAAUUACCAUUAGGUUUUCCAUAUGCUACUUGACUAGCAGUUAACCUGUUGGGAACAUUU